CACUUUAUGGAUGUUUGUGGGAAAAUCAUAGUUGAGAUGUUGCUUUUGCUUAAUUAUCCCUUGAAAUCCAUUUUCUCCUGCUUAAAACUUCUGUUUGCUGUGCUAUUUGACUGUAGGAGCUCAGCAAGGGCUUCAGCCUGCACAGUUCCUCUAUGUCUAGGUGUAGAGUGCUGGGAAGAAAGCAGCAGAGUGCGGCUUUAUUUGGGCACAGGAGUGCCUGGGGGCAGCGUUUCUUUGUUAAGUCCCAGGGCAGAAAUGAGGCAUAUAUGUCAUACACAUAGUCAUGCAUUUUACACCAUGCUAGAAGCUUCCGGCCCUUCCUCCUGCUCUGAUUCUCUUAGAGAAGCCACAAAGGAAAGUCUCUGUCUCUCUCAGACAUCAUCUUUUGCCAUCAUUCUCAGUCCUUCUCUACUUUUAAGUCCUGGGAGAAGAAUUCUCCCUGGCCCAGCUUGUUUCCUGUAGCUGCCCUCAGGAUGAAUGGAGCUGGAUCCAUGGAAAGGUCACUCAGCAAGAAGGAGGCACAGAAACCAACAAACAAGGGAGAUGAGGACCACAGAACCCCUGAUAUGUUCAACAUAGAAGAUAUUAAAAAGCUUUACCUAUCAGCAAGAGGAGCCAAGAGGACAUCAAUGUCACUCCACCAAAAAGUUCACUUUUGCCCUCAGGAGAUGGCAAUCCUACAGAGCAUCCCCCUUGACUAAGGGCUGCCUGCAAAAGCUGUGCAAGAAACUUCACUGGUCAGUUUAAGUGCAGGAUGUUUUGUGCACAGGUUUAAAUGGAAAAUCACUUCAACUUCAGGAGAGCAGGAUCUAGCUGAGAAAUCUCACAGUGCAAUACAUAAGAUAAAUUUUAUUAAUUAAAUCAAAUUCAAAAUGUAUAUUUUACCAUUUUAGGAUAAAGAAUAUUUCCUAAAAUGUCAAUAAUGGUUAAAAAGAAAUUGCUUGUUGCUUUAUUAAAGCAGCUGAGUUAAUUUCUUGUGGCUGCUUAUUUUAAGAAAGUAAGAAAGAAUCAGCAGCAUCAUAAAAACACAGAUUCUGUUUCUUAUAUUUUCUACUCAUAAAAAAGGGGAAAAGCAAAAUGUGAAAGAGCUUAGAGCUAAGGUAUUUGGUUUGAGGAUCAGUAGAAUAUUUAAUUUUUCUGUAGGAAUAAUUAUAGUCUUGAUUAUUAUAUAAAUAUUGUUUCAUCUUAGC